rnacentral:rRNA from 1 species
GCAUCGAUGAAGAACGCAGCGAAAUGCGAUAAGUAAUGUGAAUUGCAGAAUUCAGUGAAUCAUCGAAUCUUUGAACGCACCUUGCGCUCUUUGGUAUUCCGAAGAGCAUGCCUGUUUGAGUGUCAUGAAAAUAUCAACCUUGACUUGGGUUUUGUGCUCUAGUCUUGGCUUGGAAUUGGGUGCUUGCCGCUUUUACGAGCGGCUCACCUUAAAUGUAUUAGCUGGAUCUGUCUUUGAGACUUGGUUUGACUUGGCGUAAUAAGUAUUUCGCUAAGGACAUUCUUCGGAGGGGCCUCGUUUCUAGGACGCUUGUCCGCUUCCCAAUACAAGUUCCACCUCGUGGACAUGACUUUUUAUUAUCUGGCCUCAAAUCAGGUAGGACUACCCGCUGAACUUAAGCAUAUCAAUAAGCGGAGGA